UAGUAACUGAGAUUGUAAGAAGACAGUCAGAAGACAGUAAUUUACAGAAGAAGUUUGAGAAAUCCAAGAAAGGCUUAGAGGUGGAGUUUGAGCUGAGAACAGAUGGAGCCAUUGUUAAACAAGGAAGAUCAUGUGUUCCGAAUAUCAGUGAGCUUAAGAAUGCUAUUCUAGAAGAAGCUCACUGUUCAGCUUACGCUAUGCAUCCAGGUAGCACCAAGAUGUACAGAACUUUAAAGAAGACUUAUUGGUUGUCUGGAAUGAAGCAAGAGAUAGCUGAAUAUAUUGAUAGAUGUUUGAUUUGUCAACAGGUUAAACCAGUAAGACAGAGGCCAGGAGGAUUUCUUAAUCCUUUGCCAGUGCCAGAGUGGAAAUGGGAGCAUAUUACUAUGGAUUUUCUAUUUGGAUUACCUCGUACAUCCAGUGGACAUGAUGGUAUAUGGGUAAUAGUACACAGACUCACCAAGACGACACGAUUUAUACCGAUUAAAAUGACAUCUACGUUAGACCAGCUAGCAAGAUUAUAUGUUGAUAAGAUUGUGAGUCAGUAUGGAGUACCAGUGUCCAUAGUUUCAGAUAGGGAUCCGAGGUUUACUUCUAAAUUUUGGCCUAGUUUACAGAAAGCAAUGGGAACAGGGCUAAAGUUUAGUACAUCAUUUCAUCCCCAAACAGAUGGUCAGUCCGAGGACCAUCCAAACUUUAGAGGACAUGUUGAGAGCAUGUGUCCUACAACUUAAAGGAAUUUGGGAUACCCACUUGCCACUUAUGGAGUUUGCUUAUAAUAAUAACUAUCAGUCUAGUAUCGGUAUGGCACCAUAUGAAGCCUUAUACGGGAGACCAUGCAGAACUCCUGUGUGCUGGAAUGAAGUGGGAGAGCGAAAGUUAGUAGGUCCUGAGUUGGUUCAGAUUACGACAAACAAUAUUAAGUUGAUCAGAGAAAAUCUGAGGAAAGCCCAAGAUCGACAGAAAAGUUAUGCGGAUAAGCGACGAAGAAACCUAGAAUUCCAAGUUGGAGAUCAAGUUUUCUUGAAAUUAUCUCCAUGGCGAGGUGUUAUUCGUUUCGAAAGAAAAGGUAAGUUAAGUCCUAGAUAUAUUGGACCAUAUCAGAUAACGGAACGAGUGGGACCAGCAGCGUAUAGACUUGAGUUGCCAAUAGAACUUGCACGAAUACAUGACGUUUUCCAUGUAUCCAUGUUAAGAAAAUAUAUACCAGAUCCAUCACAUGUGUUGCAAGAGCGACCCGUUGAAUUAAAAGAAGAUUUGAGUUAUGUUGAAGAACCAGUUCAGAUUCUUGACAAAAAGGAACAAGUUUUGAGAAACAAAACGAUUCCACUCAUAAAGGUUUUGUGGAGACAUCAUGGAGCGGAGGAGGCAACUUGGGAACCAGAAUAUCAGAUGAAGAAGAGAUAUCCGAUACUUUUCAGUUAAGGACAUUCUAAAUUUCGAGGACGAAAUUUUCUAAAGGGAAGAGAACUUCUAAGAGAGAGUUUGGAAGAAGAAGAGAAAUUUUACUAGAAUUUUUAGGUUGAAGAAGAGGAGGAGAACUCAAGCAAAGUGUAUCAAUGGCUGAAUUUUAGUUCAUUCUGCACAUCACUGGUUUUUAAUUCGGUUUGAACUCUUCAAAAGGAAUUAAGAGGUGAGAUUUACAUUUACUGAAAGUUAACUCAUUUUUAAACAAACUUUAUGAAGAACGUUGGAGCAAAUUCGGAUAUUCAUUUGGUGCUUUUUGAUGAAGAAAACAGGGCAGUUGGUUUUCACUCGAAAUCAGGAGGUCUCUGGUUUUUCUUGUAUUUCAGAGUGUAUCGGUGGAGUUAGAAUCUCUAUUUGUUAAAUUGUAGGGACAAGUUAAAGAGGUCGUGUGCGCGCGAUUCUGGAAGUGGUUCUGUUUUGAGGGUUAUAGGUGUUUAUGCACGGGGAAUCAGAUUUAUAUGUCUUCAGGCCGAGAAGAAUUAAACCGAGCUUAUAGACCAAGGAUCUAGCCCAAGACUGUGAGUGACAAAACCAACUUUGAAAUAUUUUCCAUAAUUGUUAUUAUGAUUGAAUGCGAUAAAUGUUUAUUUACGAAGCCAUGAAAAGUAUUUGAAUUUCAUGACUAUUUUCAAGUAUACAUUUGGAGACUAGAUUUCUUAAAGAAAUUUAUGCUAGCACGUAGAUAUUAAAUGUUUGGAAAGUAUUUAAACCACAAUAUUUUAAGCAAAGCAUGAAUUAGUAUGAAGUUUUAUUUUAAGAACUACAAUUUUCCACGAAAGAGCUGAGUAAAGUUCGAGCUUUGUGUAAAAUUUAUAAGCAGGCAUGUUUUAAUAUUUAAAGAUGAUUUAUGAAAUUUUCAUUAACUACAUGACUGAGAUCUUGAGCCUGAGGCUAGAGAUUACAGUGUGCACACUGAUUAGAUUCCGUUGUUGACGUUGAGUGUACUCCGUAACAACGAUGCUGUCGUGAGUGCUGGGCGGGCCCCACUACGACAAAGAUGAUGGGAGUACUGGGCGGACCCCACUACAUGGUAGUGCUUGUAAACGUUGUUGUACUAGGUGUACCCUACACAACGUAGAUUCGUCAUGUUAGUUAAAAUGCUUCGAUAUAAUUGAUAUGCCUUGCUAGAUUUCAAUGAUGAACAUGCUGAGUAUUUAAGGAAGCUAUUCUUACUACUACACAUUUACAUUUGCGAUUUGUAUAAACAGAUUUAUAUGUGUAAAGUUUUCACGUGCUCUUAUCUUUAAAUUCAUAGUUUUAAACUGAGUCACUCACUGAGCUUCAUAGCUCACCCUUUCCAAAAUGUUUUACCCAUUUUCCAGGUAGAGAUCGACUUCCCGGUGCCUGAUAGACUGCCUUAGUCUGCGGAAGCUUCAUUAUCGAUUGCCAGUACGUGUUUUGAGUUGGGCAUAGAGUCUGUUGUGUUGUGGUGUAUAUACACCCUUGUAUGUUAUAGAUACUCCAUAGUUUGUAUAAGCUUUAGGAGCUAUAGUUGUGUAAAUUUUGUUGGUUAUAUUUUGAUUAAGGUGUCUUUAGGUUUACUCGUGAAAUCGGUAAAUUUUGAGGUACACUUCAUGUAUGUGUUUGACUAGCUGUGUUUGACUAGCCUAGGAUCCGCUGUGUUUUGUGGCAUGUACAAUAGUUUAUAUACUAGAUUGGCAAGUUCAUCACAUGAAAGUUUUAAGUAGAGUCGACAGAUACAGGUACAGUAAAGCGUUGUUCGUCGGCUUCACGCCAUCUUUCGGU